CCGUGGCUGAAAGGGUCUCUGGUCAUUGACUCCAAGUGUCAUACUAAAUCAUCAAUCCAAACAAGGUUUGAUUUUUGGCAAGGGUGCCAAGAUCAUUCAGUGUGGGAAGGAUAGUCUUUUCAACAAAUGGUGUGGGAAAAACUGGAUGUCCACAUGCAAAAGAAUGAAGUUGAACCCUUACCUUACAUGAUAUACAAAAUUAACCCCCAAAUGCAUCAAAGACCUAAACUUAAGAGCGAAAGCUAUAAAACUCUUAGAAGACGUAUUUUAAAAUCCUAAAUCAGGACAGCAGACCUGAUAAAUAAUUUGUGAAUUGAUUGAUGUGUAAAGUCCUUUAAAAGCAUCCAAGUCAAAUCCGUUACAUAUUGAAUACAUUUCUUGAAAAGAAUGCAGCUAAAGUGACUCUGUCCUGGAAAUGUGAGGCCAGGGGUUCUUAAACAGGGGCAAUUUUGGACCCCAUGGGACAUCUGGCAAUGUUUGGAGACAUAUUUGGUUUUCACAACCUGUCACCAGCAUCUAGUGGGUAGAGGCCAGGGAUGCUGCUAACUAUCCUGCAAUGCACAGGGCAGCCCCCACAAUUUGGAGUUCUCAGGCCCCAAAUGUCAGUAGUGUCGAGUUUGGGAAACCUUGCUCUUGGCUCUCUGGGGCUGUGCCUGUGCACCCCAGGGUGUCAGCCCAGCCUUGGUUUUUCCCUCGUACUUCAUGUCUACUUUGGUCCUGUCUGUGACACUAUUGUCAGAGGGGAGAGGCUUGGAACCCCUCAGCUCUCUGCUGCUUCCUUUUUUGUUGGCAGAUGCAGGGAGAUGACUACCUUUGAAGAGGUGACCCAGAUACCAACGCAAGCCUGGCAAGGGGCAGGGGGUGUCUUGAGUAAGCAUCUCCCACUGGGGAGAUGAGAGCAGGGACCGCAUGCAGCAAGAGGGUGGGAAGGAGCACUGGAUUUAGAGGGACAGGCGCAGGCUCCAACUCUGUCUGACUCCGCCUCUAACCUGGCCAUUUAGCCUCUGUGCCUCAGAGGCAUUGUCCAUUGGGCACAGGUUCUAAACAGGGUUAUUGUGAGGGUUAGGGAGAGGAAGGAUGGGACAGGGUUGUGGAAAGCACUAGGGCCG
rnacentral:lncRNA from 1 species